UACGAAGGGGGCUAGCGUUGCUCGGAAUCACUGGGCGUAAAGCGCACGUAGGCGGAUCUUUAAGUCAGAGGUGAAAUCCUGGAGCUCAACUCCAGAACUGCCUUUGAUACUGAGAGGCUUGAGUCCGGGAGAGGUGAGUGGAACUGCGAGUGUAGAGGUGAAAUUCGUAGAUAUUCGCAAGAACACCAGUGGCGAAGGCGGCUCACUGGCCCGGUACUGACGCUGAGGUGCGAAAGCGUGGGGAGCAAACAGG
rnacentral:rRNA from 1 species